UACGGAGGGUGCAAGCGUUGUCCGGAUUUAUUGGGUUUAAAGGGUGCGUAGGCGGCCCGUUAAGUCAGCGGUGAAAUCCCGGGGCUCAACCCCGGAACUGCCGUUGAUACUGGCGGGCUUGAGUUCGGUCGAGGCGGGCGGAACUGGCGGUGUAGCGGUGAAAUGCUUAGAUACCACCAAGAACCCCGAUUGCGUAGGCAGCUCGCUAGGCCGAAACUGACGCUGAGGCACGAAAGCGUGGGGAGCGAACAGG
rnacentral:rRNA from 1 species